GACGAACGCUGGCGGCGUGCUUAACACAUGCAAGUCGAACGGAAAGGCCCUGCUUUUGUGGGGUGCUCGAGUGGCGAACGGGUGAGUAACACGUGAGUAACCUGCCCUUGACUUUGGGAUAACUUCAGGAAACUGGGGCUAAUACCGGAUAGGAGCUCCUGCUGCAUGGUGGGGGUUGGAAAGUUUCGGCGGUUGGGGAUGGACUCGCGGCUUAUCAGCUUGUUGGUGGGGUAGUGGCUUACCAAGGCUUUGACGGGUAGCCGGCCUGAGAGGGUGACCGGCCACAUUGGGACUGAGAUACGGCCCAGACUCGUACGGGAGGCAGCAGUGGGGAAUAGUGCACAAUGGGCGGAAGCCGGAUGCAGCAACGCCGCGUGCGGGAUGACGGCCUUCGGGUUGUAAACCGCUUUCGCCUGUGACGAAGCGUGAGUGACGGUAAUGGGUAAAGAAGCACCGGCUAACUACGUG
rnacentral:rRNA from 1 species